rnacentral:rRNA from 1 species
UUUAACUGAAGAGUUUGAUCAUGGCUCAGAUUGAACGCUGGCGGCAGGCUUAACACAUGCAAGUCGAGCGGGGGAAGGUAGCUUGCUACUGGACCUAGCGGCGGACGGGUGAGUAAUGCUUAGGAAUCUGCCUAUUAGUGGGGGACAACAUCUCGAAAGGGAUGCUAAUACCGCAUACGUCCUACGGGAGAAAGCAGGGGAUCUUCGGACCUUGCGCUAAUAGAUGAGCCUAAGUCGGAUUAGCUAGUUGGUGGGGUAAAGGCCUACCAAGGCGACGAUCUGUAGCGGGUCUGAGAGGAUGAUCCGCCACACUGGGACUGAGACACGGCCCAGACUCCUACGGGAGGCAGCAGUGGGGAAUAUUGGACAAUGGGGGGAACCCUGAUCCAGCCAUGCCGCGUGUGUGAAGAAGGCCUUAUGGUUGUAAAGCACUUUAAGCGAGGAGGAGGCUAC